rnacentral:rRNA from 1 species
GACGAACGCUGGCGGCGUGCUUAACACAUGCAAGUCGAACGGAAAGGCCCUGCUUUUGUGGGGUGCUCGAGUGGCGAACGGGUGAGUAACACGUGAGUAACCUGCCCUUGACUUUGGGAUAACUUCAGGAAACUGGGGCUAAUACCGGAUAGGAGCUCCUGCUGCAUGGUGGGGGUUGGAAAGUUUCGGCGGUUGGGGAUGGACUCGCGGCUUAUCAGCUUGUUGGUGGGGUAGUGGCUUACCAAGGCUUUGACGGGUAGCCGGCCUGAGAGGGUGACCGGCCACAUUGGGACUGAGAGACGGCCCAGACUCCUACGGGAGGCAGCAGUGGGAAAUAUUGCACAAUGGGCGGUAGCCUGAUGCAGCAACGCCGCGUGCGGGAUGACGGCCUUCGGGUUGUAAACCGCUUUCGCCUGUGACGAAGCGUGAGUGACGGUAAUGGGUAAAGAAGCACCGGCUAACUACGUG